ncrna:unclassified sequences RAGATH-10 RNA
GAGACCUCGUCUCGUGUGUAUCAGAAAUGCACCGUACUCGCUUAGCUCGCGAGCAGCAACUCCGCUGGGAUGAGGAGAAAGG